GAGUCAUGCUCCUGUUUACCAGGAUGCCAUUGCUGCGAUCCUCUGGUGUGACAAUCCUGUGUUCAGCUGUAGCAGACCACAGAGUCGACAACACAAAGUAAUGGAGGCAUCAUAUAGGUACAACUGUAGAGCAGAUAAAAGCGUGAGGGAUUUAAAGAUACCUAACUCAAAAUUUCGAGUUAUGGAUAUCAAAAAAAACUUUGUUCAGUGGCGGAAACACGUUUCAGUACCCCUCUGAUGCUAACAGUCACUUCUAAAAAGGAGACAGAAUUGAACAUGAUUUAUUGAUAUACAGAAUUCAGUUAUAGGAGUUAGAGCAGGACCCAGUGGAGUCUAGAUGCUGGUGGUGGAGAUGAAGAUGGAGGCUUGGAUGGAGCCUGAGUAACAAGUAAGGUAAGGUGGAGAUGGGGAGGAGGUGGGUUGCAUGAAGGCAUCUGCAAGGGAGAAUGACAGAUGCAGUGAGACUUAAAGUAUGCAGAGUGGAGGCUGAUUGGACUUGAGAACGCAGGCAGAAAGAUGAUUGGACUAGACCAGUGAUGUCCACAGUGAGCUCGACAGAGUGGGAAAGUGAUGUAAAACUUAAAUUAGCCACCAAAAACCGUGAAAGCAGACAGAUGUGUGACCACAGAUCUUCCUUAUUGAACUUAAGCAUCAGUUGUCUAUUUUUUUGCUGGAUAACAAUUAUUGUAUAAUUAUUUUAUCUCUUGUAUGUCUUCAAGUAAGCGCCUAGUUAAUAAUGUUAACUUCUGAAAAUAGUUCUUCACGGGGGCAUUAUGGGUCAUUAUGUUGGACAAAAUGAUGACUCAGACCCAGUUAUCCUGCUCACUGCUUGGGGUUUUCUUUCAAAAUCUUCACAUAGCCUUCUUCUUCAUGAUUCCUUGCACCUUGAUGAGAUUAUGCUCCCUCUUCUCAGGAAAACAGAGGGAGAGAGAGAGAAAGGGAAGAUAGCGGGAAAGGGCCACGGGUUGGAAUCAAACCUAAGUCUGCUGCUCUCUGCAAGGCGGCAUAUGGUCAUGUGCUCAUCCCAGUGAGCUAAACCAGCAGCCAAGUGAAGUAGUUCUUGGCCUGCAACCUCGCACUCCAUUCCUCUGCAAGAUCCAUUAAAGGGUCGGCUAUCUGUGUGGCGUCCAGGCAGUCAUCGAAGCUGCCAGCUGUGGGAUCUCGCCUCUAAUCCCCCAUAAAGACUGACUGGCAACACAAACAGCUGCUGACCUGAUCUCCUCUGCCCUGUCCUGUUGCUGAAAAUGUUCCAAACUGGAAAGCCAGAAAGGACAGACAGGGUUGGACAUGCUGGAGUCCUCUUUCAUACUUCAUUUUUAUGUUUUUUACUUAAUUUUUUUACUCACUAAACUCAUUUUGUGUUGUCCUUUGUAGUUCAAAAAGUAACAUUAUAUCAGCCUGACAAUAACCGCUUCAGCCUCUCUGUGUAGUUGUUUUGGUUAUAUUUUAUUCCAUGACUAUAUCUUCUGUGCAUGGCUCAGAUCUGUUCUUGUAAAAGCAAGCCUUUAUCUCCCCACCUGCUAUCAGGCGGAGAAUGCUACUGAUAGUGUGGACAGUACACAGGCUCUAACACAGUUAGUCCAGCCCGCCCAUGCAGUGGAAAGCAGCGGGGUCAGGCAAGGUAGCAAAUAAAAGGUCUAUUAUUAAUCUAUCACACCCGCAGUUAAUAAAGUGCACACAUGCUUAAUACAUAAACAAUGACAGGACAAAGGUGAGCGCUACUUUCUAUUGAUAGGCUACUUUAAACUUAGUAUAGUAGUAACUAAAAAAGUAUGCUUGACUCAAAGGGCUCUGUAUGGUUUUGAUCCAGUUGUUCUCUUAGAGGAAAGGUUCACUUCAGAGCAGUAAAUAAAUGUUCUGAGUGAUAGCAUCAUUCAUGAGGGGUCACUAAAGGAUUUAAUGAAUAUGAUGAUGUGAGUAUGUCCUGUCUGUUAACACUGUUAACAAAUGGUAAAUUAAUAGUGAAAUAAAUUGUAAUAAACAGUUGUUUUACUGUUAAUAAACAAUUAAAUUAUAUUAUACACUCACCU
ensembl:lncRNA